rnacentral:rRNA from 1 species
GGACAGAGUGACAGGUGGUGCAUGGUUGUCGUCAGCUCGUGUCGUGAGAUGUGGGUUAAGUCCCGCAACGAGCGCAACCCUUGAUCUUAGUGCCAGCAUUCAGUUGGGCACUCUAAGGUGACUGCCGGUGACAAACCGGAGGAAGGUGGGGAUGACGUCAAAUCAUCAUGCCCCUUAUGACCUGGGCUACACACGUGCUACAAUGGAUAGAACAAAGGGCAGCGAAGCCGCGAGGUGUAGCCAAUCCCAUAAAUCUAUUCUCAGUUCGGAUUGCAGGCUGCAACUCGCCUGCAUGAAGCCGGAAUCGCUAGUAAUCGCGGAUCAGCAUGCCGCGGUGAAUACGUUCCCGGGCCUUGUACACACCGCCCGUCACCUCACGAGAGUUUGUAACACCCGAAGUCGGUGGGGUAACCUUUUGGAGCCAGCCGCCUAAGGUGGGACAGAUGAUUGGGGUGAAGUCGUAACAAGGUAGCCGUAUCGGAAGGUGCGGCUGGAUCACCUCCUU